CAUCACGGGAAGCGGCGCGGGGUGUUGUGAGGCGUUGUGUGGGAACGGCCCCUCUUGGACUAUAAAAUCCCGCGUUUAGCGUGUCUUUGCAGCUUUAUUUCUAAUAAUACGCACCUCGUUAGCUUUUAAAGUUUAUCAGUUUCUUUUUUUCUCGGCUCUUUCGCCUUGUCAGUACUCUGCAAGUAUUGAGGAUGGUCCCGGUGUGUCCGUUCCAGCUCUGAGCGUUCUGUGAAUAACUUUAUGAAGCUGAUUAUACACAGUGGACCAGAGUCAUGAAUGGAAAUCCAAGCCUUGCUGAAAUCUCUGGGCUCAUCUCAAGCACAGAGCAGACCCUGAAUACAUGUGGGAAGGAGCUGGAUGAGUAAAGAGUUUGUAUUUUACAGAGAAGCUGAAUAACUUCGGUGAAGUUCUAAAAGAACCAAUGGAGAAAUUGAUGCAUGAAAUGUCAGCCCUCCCAGGGUAUCACAGAGGUCCUAUUUGGAGUUCUAGUUGCUCGCCCUGAGAGCGAUCUCCUGACCCUGCAUCUUCCAUGUGGGCACUUCUGGUAACACUGUCAUUUUCGCAGCAGUUUCCUGUUUGAUAUUAACUAUGCUGUCCUAACUUCUUUGCAAGGCAAACAUGGUUUUUGCUCUGUGACAGAUGACUUUAAAAAUACAAGUGGACAGGCAUUUUUAAUUAAAGUCGAAACAAAGUUAAA